rnacentral:rRNA from 1 species
GACGAACGCUGGCGGCGUGCCUAAUACAUGCAAGUAGAACGCUGAAGGAGGAGCUUGCUUCUCUGGAAGAGUUGCGAACGGGUGAGUAACGCGUAGGUAACCUGCCUGGUAGCGGGGGAUAACUAUUGGAAACGAUAGCUAAUACCGCAUAAUAGUAGAUGUUGCAUGACAUUUGCUUAAAAGGUGCAAUUGCAUCACUACCAGAUGGACCUGCGUUGUAUUAGCUAGUUGGUGGGGUAACGGCUCACCAAGGCGACGAUACAUAGCCGACCUGAGAGGGUGAUCGGCCACACUGGGACUGAGACACGGCCCAGACUCCUACGGGAGGCAGCAGUAGGGAAUCUUCGGCAAUGGACGGAAGUCUGACCGAGCAACGCCGCGUGAGUGAAGAAGGUUUUCGGAUCGUAAAGCUCUGUUGUAAGAGAAGAACGAGUGUGAGAGUGGAAAGUUCACACUGUGACGGUAUCUUACCAGAAAGGGACGGCUAACUACGUG